UUGGUCAAGCUACAAAGGGCUCACGGAGGAUACCUAGGCACACAGAGGCGAUGAAGGACGUGGUUACCUGCGAUAAGUCUCGGGGAGUUGGAAGCACACUUUGAUCCGGGAAUUUCCGAAUGGGGCAACCCCAUGUACGGCCAACUGAAUAUAUAGGUUGGUGCGAGCUAACCCAGCGAACUGAAACAUCUUAGUAGCUGGAGGAAGAGAAAGUAAAUAACGACUCCCUCAGUAGCGGCGAGCGAACGGGGAACAGCCCAAACCGAUAGUCUUGACUAUCGGGGUUGUGGGACAGCAAUAUGGAUCAACAAGUCUAGAAGAAACGUUUGAAUGGCGUGCCACAGAGGGUGAAAGCCCCGUAAUCGAAAGAUAAGUUGACCUAGCUGUAUCCCGAGUAGCACGGAGCACGUGGAAUUCCGUGUGAAUCUGCGAGGACCACCUCGUAAGGCUAAGUACUACUGUGUGACCGAUAGUGAAACAGUACCGCGAGGGAAAGGUGAAAAGAACCCCGGGAGGGGAGUGAAAUAGAACAUGAAACCGUGAGCUUACAAGCAAUGGGAGCCCGACUAAUCGGGUGACCGUGUGCCUGUUGAAGAAUGAGCCGGCGACUUAUAGGCACUGGCGGGUUAAACCGGAAAUGGUGGAGCCACAGCGAAAGCGAGUCUUAAUAGGGCGUUUGUCAGUGUUUAUAGACCCGAACCCUGGUGAUCUAACCAUGGCCAGGAUGAAGCUUGGGUGAUACCAAGUGGAGGUCCGAACCGACUGAAGUUGAAAAUUCAGCGGAUGAGCUGUGGUUAGGGGUGAAAUGCCAAUCGAACCAGGAGCUAGCUGGUUCUCCCCGAAAUACGUUGAGGCGUAGCGUCUAGUGCUCCAGCAGGGGGGUAAAGCAACCAUUUCGGUGCGGGCUGCGAAAGCGGUACCAAAUCGAUAUGAACUCUGAAUACCCUGUGUGUAACUAGGCAGUCAGACUGUGGGGGAUAAGCUCCAUAGUCAAGAGGGAAACAGCCCAGACCGCCAGCUAAGGUCCCAAAAUUAACGCUAAGUGAUAAAGGAGGUGGGAUUGCCCAGACAACCAGGAGGUUUGCCUAGAAGCAGCCAUCCUCAAAGGAGUGCGUAAUAGCUCACUGGUCGAGCGAUCCUGCGCCGAAAAUGAACGGGGCUAAGCGUUAUACCGAAGCUGCGGAUAAAUUUAUUUAUGGUAGGGGAGCGUUCUAUGUAGGGUGAAGCGUUAGCGUAAGCGGACGUGGACAGCAUAGAAGUGAGAAUGUCGGCUUGAGUAGCGAAAACAUGGGUGAGAAUCCCAUGCCCCGAAACCCUAAGGGUUCCUCCGGCAGGCUCGUCCGCGGAGGGUUAGUCUGGACCUAAGGCGAGGCCGAAAGGCGUAGUCGAUGGAUAACAGGUCAAUAUUCCUGUACCAGAUGUGUUUUGAGAAGGGGGACGGAGAAGGCUAACCAGGCCAGAUGUUGGUUACUGGUUCAAGCGUUCGAGGCUUUGAGAGAUGGAGAAAACAUCUUGAGCUAAGACGUGAGUACGAGCUGCUACGGCAGCGAAGUUGGUGAUGUCAUGCUUCCAAGAAAAGCCCUAUACUCGUUAAGACACAAAUGCCAGUACCCGAAACCGACACAGGUGGGGUGGUAGAGAAUACCGAGGGGCGCGAGAUAACUCUCUCUAAGGAACUCGGCAAAAUGGCCCCGUAACUUCGGGAGAAGGGGUGCCAGCGAGAGCUGGUCGCAGUGAAGAGGCGCAAGCGACUGUUUACCAAAAACACAGGUCUCCGCUAAGUCGCAAGACGAUGUAUGGGGGCUGACACCUGCCCAGUGCCGGAAGGUUAAGGAAGCUGGUUAGCUUUUAGUGAAGCUGGCGACUGAAGCCCCGGUGAACGGCGGCCGUAACUAUAACGGUCCUAAGGUAGCGAAAUUCCUUGUCGGGUAAGUUCCGACCCGCACGAAAGGUGUAACGAUUUGCGCGCUGUCUCGGAGAGAGGCUCGGCGAAAUAGAAUUGUCUGUGAAGAUGCGGACUACAUACACCCGGACAGAAAGACCCUAUGAAGCUUUACUGUAGUUUGAUAUUGUGCUCGGGCUCUGAAUGCGCAGAAUAGGUGGGAGACGUUGAAAUAGUGCUUGUGGGUACUAUUGAGUCAUCGGUGAGAUACCACUCUUUUAGAGCUAGGGUUCUAACGCUUACCCGUUAUCCGGGAAGCGGACAGUAUCUGAUGGGCAGUUUGACUGGGGCGGUCGCCUCCUAAAAGGUAACGGAGGCGCACAAAGGUUCCCUCAGGCUGGUUGGAAAUCAGUCGUUGAGUGCAAAAGCAGAAGGGAGCUUGACUGUGAGACCUACAAGUCGAACAGGGACGAAAGUCGGUUUUAGUGAUCCGACGGUUCUGCGUGGAAGGGCCGUCGCUCAACGGAUAAAAGUUACUCUAGGGAUAACAGGCUGAUCUCCCCCAAGAGUUCACAUCGACGGGGAGGUUUGGCACCUCGAUGUCGGCUCAUCGCAACCUGGGGCUGAAGUCGGUCCCAAGGGUUGGGCUGUUCGCCCAUUAAAGCGGUACGCGAGCUGGGUUCAGAACGUCGUGAGACAGUUCGGUCCAUAUCCGGUGUAUGCGCAGGAAUAUUGAGAGGAUUUCUCCCUAGUACGAGAGGACCGGGAGGAACGCACCUCUGGUGUGCCAGUUAUCGUGCCAACGGUAAACGCUGGGUAGCCAUGUGCGGAGUGGAUAACCGCUGAAAGCAUCUAAGUGGGAAGCCCACCUCAAGAUGAGUAUUGCCAUGGCUUAAGCCAGUAAGGUCACGGGAAGAACACCCGUUGAUAGGCUCUACGUGGAAGCUUGGUAACAAGUGCAGCGGAGGAGUACUAAUAGACCGAGGGCUUGACCAAAUAA
rnacentral:rRNA from 1 species